UGGGGAAUUUUGGACAAUGGGGGAAACCCUGAUCAAGCCAUCCCGCGUGUGCGAUGAAGGCCUUCGGGUUGUAAAGCACUUUUGGCAGGAAAGAAACGUCAUGGGUUAAUACCCCGUGACACUGACGGUACCUGCAGAAUAAGCACCGGCUAACUACGUGCCAGCAGCCGCGGUAAUACGUAGGGUGCAAGCGUUAAUCGGAAUUACUGGGCGUAAAGCGUGCGCAGGCGGUUCGGAAAGAAAGAUGUGAAAUGCCAGAGCUCAACGUUGGAACUGCAUGUUUGACUGCCGGGCUAGAGUGUGUCAGAGGGAGGUGGAAUUCCGCGUGUAGCAGUGAAAUGCGUAGAUAUGCGGAGGAACACCGAUGGCGAAGGCAGCCUCCUGGGAUAACACUGACGCUCAUGCACGAAAGCGUGGGGAGCAAACAGG
rnacentral:rRNA from 1 species